UUUUCUGAUAUUCUUGUCUAUUUAUUUGGUCUCAAAAUGAGCCAUUCGGUUACAGAAAUUCUGCUUGAGAUAAACUCAAGCAUUGGACCAAGCUUCAUGGCCAUGCCAUCCCAACACCACUCGCUCCCCGAACCCUAAAAUACCCCCAUGACCGCUAGAUUUCGUGCCAUCCCACGUAGCUACCACAGGAGUAACUUCAACGCUAAACGCAGUAACAUAAAACCCGGUCCAAGUCGUGAACAUGUCUCACGCAAAAUGUACUUCUUAUUUUGCUAUAAACGGCAACGGGCUUAAGCGUGCAUGAGGGAGCUGCCGGAUCAAGGUCGUGAUGGAUGCGCUGCCAUCACCUGAUGUGCAAGGGCGCCGUAUACCCCCUGCUGCGGCAUAGUCCCCAAUCCUCCAUGGACAUCUCUUGGCCCUCCCCCCUUUCCAGGCUGCCGACGAACUGCAUAUGCAUUGAUGCCAUAGGUUGCAAAUUGUUAAACGUAAAUGCACACAAGUAGCGCUAGCUAGCUAGAACGAACAUCGACUUGAAAAAUACUAGGGAAGAAUAUCGUUUACACGAGAGUGGCUUCUUAAAAGACAGGCUUUCGGAUACCCCUUAUCCUUACCCUUCAAUCUGCUUUGAGAUCCGUAUUAUACAACUAACUUCCAACACUGGAUUUUCUCUUUUUUGCUUCUUCUAAAUAAGAGAACAUCUGAACUUCAAACUUUGCAAGACAUCAAAACAUUCUAACUAAAAUAUGGGAAAAAACUUUCAGAUAUUUUGGUCCAACAUAAAUGUACAAAAUUAGAUUUUUCGGAGUAAAAAGGUAUUAUUUUUAGUAUUUAUGUUUCACGGAAAAAUCUGAAAGUUUUUUCCCACAUUCUAGUUAGAAUCUUUGAUUGUCCUUCAAAGUUUGAAGUUCAUAUGUUGUUUUAUUUUGAAGAAAAAAUGGUACUUGCACAAAUCACGAUGUAGAAAUGAAUUCAAAUGUUGACUGUGGUUACACACCAUCGACUGUAGGAGGCCUCAUAUGGACCUGCUUGUUACCCACGAGCACCGGAGGAGACAUCAUUGGUAUGCGGAACCCUAGCCGUCGCCCCUCCAUAGUCUCCUCUCCAACUGCCAUGCAUCACAAAUUAUCAAACAUAAAUACACACAAUGUCCAGGAAAGGACACGUGUUUGCGAACUUUUGAUACCGUCGUCGCUGGCAGAGCUUGGCAUCAGGGAGCAGCAGAAGCAUAUGAUGGCCAGGAACGCCAUGGUGCGCGGGAGCGAGGGCAAAGAAGACAGCUUCAUGGUCUUAGAUCCUAAGUGGCCGGCUAGCUUCUUUG
rnacentral:lncRNA from 1 species